GCUGAUUUCGUAAUGGGAAACCCGAGUUCUAUUUCCAUCACAAUGGAAUAAAAUAUAUUUUAGUUUCGAUUUAAUCUUAAACAUCUUGCAUUUUCUUUUUUCUAAUUUUGGAAAAGAUAAUUGUGGGAGAUAAAAUAAUUGAACACUUUCCAUCGCCCUCGGUCAUGAUAGUCAGCAAACCCAAAGAUAACGACAUGUAUCAUUAUACAGUAACAUACACAGACGAUACUCAAUCUGAUGACGAUGAUGUCGAGGUUAUACAGGAAAACAUCAGCAUAGUAUGUCCUUACACUAGAUGUGUAAUGAAAACGCCUGUAAGAAACAAAAUUUGUGGACAUACUUUUGAUCGAAAUGCCAUGAUUGAAUAUUUGAAAUUGAGUCGUUUUCCAAGAUGUCCAAUAGCCGGAUGCUCGAAUUUGAAACGUCUUGAAGCAUCGGAUUUCGAAAUAAACGAAAUGUUGAAGCUGCACAUUGACAGGUCAAGAAGAUAAUUCCAAUUUUGGGAUAUAUCACCUGCAUGUGAAGAACAUUUUGAAAAUCACAAAGAGAACAUGAACUGCUAUCUUCAAUUAAGACUGAUAGUAUGUUUGAAAACAAGCUCUCUUUUAAAGAGAAAGAGCCCACUUUGCAGAACAAUAAUUUAAAUAUUACAUAUUGUUAUAUGUACUAGUGUUUGUUUGUAUGUUUUUAUUUUUUAUGUUUAAAGUAUUUCAUUACAAGCAUAGUUUUUUUUCUCAUAACUGGCUUUUUGAUCUAUUGCUGCAAUGCAAAACUAAACAAUGAAAUAUAUACAUGCAUUUACAUUUAUGAAAUCAUGUCAUAGUACUUAGAUAUAUUUACAAACAUAAAUCAGAUGAACUUUGGAUAUAGGUUCAAGCAUCAGAGCUAUAACAGGAAAUCAACAGCUUGGUAAAUGCAUUUUCGUUUCUAAAUGAUUGUAUAUUUUUGUAUAUUCUGUUUACCAGUCAUAUUGUCAUAAUAAAAGUGACAUGUUUAAAAGCAUGUACGCUAAAUUUAAGAAGACAAGGAAUUUAAGAUUGGAACGAAAUACGAAAAAAAAAGCAAUUUUUGCAAUUUUUUCAACUUUGAUUAGCAAUAACUACCACAACAGCCCAAGUCUAUUAAGGCUAUUAAUAACUUAUGAUAUUGGAACGCGUAACAUAUUUACAAAACAUAUAUAUUGUACAUACAACAGAAGAGAAUAAUAUACAUAUGCAUAGUAUAGGUACAUUGUUAUAUAAGAGAUACAAUAACAAAUAAAAUUAUUUUACAGUUGAAAAAUAAUGAUUUAUGGGCGUAUAUUGUUAUCUUAAAUGAAAGCGAAAGUUAAGACAAUGUUUUAAAUCAUUCAUUUUAAACAUGAACAUUACUAUAUUCAUCCUAGGUGACAAAAAUAAUAUAAGCUACUGAGUCUCGUACCAAUAACUGAAUCCUAAUCGAAAAACGAAAAAUUAAGAGAAAGCGAAGGUACAGUCUUUGUGUUCAUGCUUUAUAAAUGAUUAUCAAUAGACGGAUGUCAUUAGAAUUAUUCCUAAAUAAAUCAAUGAUCUUAAUUAUUUAAAAAAAACACAUUAAGCAUGUAAAUAAAAAUAACUAUACAGUAUAUGUCUGAGAAACAUACUACAUAUACUAAAAAGCGAUAACGUUGCCUGCUACUUUUUUAACGUGAAGAUAAAAGCUUUGCAAGCGCGAUAGCAAUAUGAGAGUUGACAAUUACACUAUCAAUAAGUUUACAUGAGAUAUGUAAAAACAUUUUACAUUGAUAUAUGUAGUCAUAGCAAAUAAAUGUGCUGUAUUGGUCAAAACCUAAAUUUGCUAUAAUAGCGUUUCAGAAGGCACAUCUUUCAGUCUUCUCCAAAUCCCUCCAGAGGCGUGCACGUCGCGGAGAAGGCACACGGCAGGUCAAGGUCAAGUCAUCUUAAGUACCAGAGGUGAUUGGUUGACCUGUCGUGACUAACUCUGGAGGGUGGCGCUAACAAGAGCCGUUUUAUGUCAACCGCCUGUUUGCAGCCGUCACGGAACUUGAUGCUUUUCCGGUAUUGUCUUGCCUCCACCGAACGAAGUACAGGACUUAGGAAGAUCGGCAUGAAAAAGACGUCCCCGAUGAGACUACUAGAGUGGACCGGCAUGGACGCUGAGAUCUCGGACAUAUGGAAUUUCCGGCGCCGAGCUAUAAUAAACUUAAAACAACAACAACAACAUCUUUCAGUCUCUUUCCUGUGACAAAUACACAUAAGAUGUUCUGUAAUGUCAUUCGUAAGAGGAUUGCAAAUGCUAUAUCGGCGCACAUAUGAAGAACACAUCCUGUAUCCAACUGCCCUGGCAAGUGUUUCAGCAACCAAUUUUAAACCCGAAUAUUGUCGAAUAAUAACCAUGAAAGGCGAAAUCUUAGAAAGAUGAAGUAGAAAUGUUAAUGACUUGUAACUUGUUGGCUCACUUGUGGCGUUAAAGUUUCUAAGAAUAAAUCUUUUGUUGAUUCAUUGAUUACCAUCAUCUUUAAAAUCUUCUUCCAUUUUAAUUUAGAUGAAAACACACCGGCAUCAAUAAAAGAAUAAAUGACGUUUUACAGAUCAUAUUUCUGCAGUAAUCUAGAUAUGUUUGGAUUAAAUCAAUGUUUCUGUCUAUCCACAUUCACAUAUCUAAUCAAUCUAUUAACAAGUAUCUGUUAAGCAUGAUAUUUUGAUUGCAAUCGGCAUAAUUGACAAAAUAAUUUAUCAAAGUAAGUAUGUUUGGUAUAUUCAACAUACAUAAUGCACUAGAUAUAUGAAAAGUUUGUAUAAAUUUUACACAGUACUGUGCUAAUUCUAAAUUUGAUAUGUCUUUAUCCAGUUUUCACAACCAUAUAGCGCUUUAGGUACAACAACUGUCAUGUACAUUUUAUAAAAAUAUAUACUGUAAAGGUAAGCCAAAAGUUAAAACUUGAUAUUAUUCCACUAAAUCAAUUGUAAAAACUACCACAACAACCUAGGUCUAUUUCGUCUAUCAAUAACUCUAUACUAUAAGUAGCUGUGCAUACAAAUGUUCACCCCUCUAUCGUGAUUAACUGUUAGAAAAACAAAAUAUCCUUACAUUACUAAAUAGACUAUAAAGCAAAUUUCAAUCCUGUUUUAUAUAAUGUUGUUGUGUCAUAAUUGUAUCAUAAUUGUAUAUGUUUGCAUUUUAUGAAGAAAAUACUGUUUAAACCAAACAAA